AAUCAUCAGCAGCGCCUGAGCCGUUGGGAAUUUUGGAACGCCGUCCGUCGGAUGAGAUCUCUCCAUCCCUCCCUCCUUCCCUCUCCUCCGAUUUCUGAGUUUCGAUUCGCCGAACCUCUCAUUCUCUAUUUCCGCUGCGUUCCCACUCCGAGCGCGUGGUCGGCGGCUGACCAGUCUUUCUUCCCCCACCAAGGAAGGCCGGGAGGCCUCCAUACUUGUCUCUCUCCCUCGCCUUCUUCUCGGGGAUGGCGGUCGGAGGAGGAGCCCAAAGGCUUCGGACGCGGCGCCUCUCUUUGCUUCUCGUAUCGGUUCUCCUCGUCGGCAGCGUCGUUGUUGGAGAGGAUCCUUCGUCGUCAUCAGGAAGAGGGGAGCGGGACCUCUACGCGUCGAAGCUCUCGGGGAUCAUCAUACCGGGGUUCGCGUCGACGCAGCUGAGGGCUUGGUCGGUUCUUGACUGCCCCUACUCCCCCCUCGACUUCAACCCUCUCGACUCCGUCUGGCUCGACACCACUCGAGUUCUUUCUGCUGUAAAUUGUUGGCUUAAGUGCAUGUUGCUGGAUCCUUACAAUCAAACUGAUCACCCUGAAUGCAAAUCAAGGCCUGACAGUGGUCUUUCUGCUAUCACUGAACUGGAUCCAGGAUAUAUAACAGGACCUCUUUCUUCCGUUUGGAAAGAAUGGCUUAAAUGGUGCAUUGAAUUUGGAAUCGAGGCUAAUGCAAUUAUUGCUGUUCCAUAUGAUUGGAGGUUAUCAGCAUCAAAGCUUGAGGAGCGAGACCUUUACUUUCACAAACUAAAGUUAACUUUUGAAACUGCACUUAAACUUCGUGGGGGCCCCUCUUUGGUGUUUGCUCAUUCAAUGGGAAACAAUGUUUUCCGCUACUUCUUAGAAUGGUUAAAACUUGAAAUUGCACCAAAGCAGUACAUCCAAUGGCUUGAUGCACACAUUCAUGCCUAUUUUGCUGUUGGAGCUCCUCUUCUUGGUUCUACUGAAUCGGUCAAGGCCACUCUAUUUGGAUUUACAUUUGGUCUUCCAGUUGCUGAGGGAACAGCACGAUUGAUGUAUAAUUCAUUUGGUUCUUCUUUAUGGCUGAUGCCAUUCUCAAAGCACUGUAAAGCAGAUGAUGUAUACUGGAAACAUUUUUUUGGAGAAAGGGAAGGUCAUCAUCAUACUUACCAUUGUGAUGAAAUAGAAUUUCAAACAAACUACUCUGGUUGGCCCACAGAGAUUAUAAAUAUUGAGCUUCCUUCUAUUCGAGGCUCAGAUGCUUUCCCAUCAAUCUUGGAUGUAGCUCAGGAUAUGACUUCUAACAUGGAAUGUGGAAGACCUAUUCAAUUAUCUUUUUCUGCUAGAGAAGUUUCCGACGGCACCUUCUUCAAAGCAAUAGAGGACUAUGAUCCAGAUAGCAAAAGACUCCUGUACCAGCUGCAGAAGUACUACCAGGAUGACCCAGUGCUGAAUCCUCUAACACCUUGGGAGAGACCUCCACUAAAGAACAUCUUUUGCAUAUAUGGGAUUGAUUUAAAGACUGAGGUCGGAUACUAUUUUGCACCCAGUGGCAAACCAUAUCCUGAUAACUGGAUCAUAACUGAUGUUAUUUAUGAACAUGAAGGAGCCCUGUUUUCAAGAUCUGGUAAUUCAGUUAGCGGGAAUCCUGGAGCUGUGAGUGGGGAUGGAACCGUUCCAUAUAACUCCCUCUCGUGGUGCAAGACCUGGCUUGGUUCCAAGGUAAACAUAACAAGAGCUCCACAGGCUGAGCAUGAUGGAUCGGAUGUUCAGAUAAGCCUGAACGUAGAGCACCAUCAGGGUGAAGACAUACUCCCAAACAUGACAAGGACUCCUCGUGUCAAGUAUAUAACCUACUAUGAAGAUUCUGAAAGCAUUCCGGGAAGGAGGACAGCAGUUUGGGAACUGGAUAAGGAAACUGUUUUGGAUGGUGAGGCUACUACUAGAGAGACAACCUUCUGCCAGAAGAUGCAAGUUGUGUGUGUUGCCCUGCUUUUGUUCAAAUUUUCCUGCAAAUCACAGAAAUCUUGUUAGAUCUCAAGUUUUAAUGCGUGAGUUAUGGCUUGAAAUGUGGCAUGAUAUACAUCCUGACGCAACAUCAAAAUUUGUUAAAAAAGCCAGGCGUGGUCCAUUGAGGGAUGCAGACUGCUACUGGGAUUAUGGGAAAGCUCGGUGUGCCUGGCCUGAAUAUUGUGAAUACAGGUAUGCAUUUGGUGAUGUUCACCUUGGGCAGAGCUGCAGGCUGAAGAAUUCUUCUACGGACCUCCUCUUGAAUUAUCUAUAGAGGCAAGAUCUUCUCAGGAUGGACAGGUUUUUCGGCUUUUCCAUUUUUUUUUGCACGUGACUGUUUAACAACACCAGAAUAAUCACUGAAGAGCAAUUGAUUCUACUUGGGUCAGAAAAGGAGAAAAAUGGGAUGUACAUUACACAAAUUGGCAGCUCACAAAUGUAUCGGUUGAUCUUUUUCAUCUCUGAGAACUCUCUUGGCCAAUUCUUGGAACUUUAAAGACGUCCCUGCUGGUCUGUUCUUCGGAACUUGAAAGACAUCAUUGGUUCGCCUCAGCAGCAGGAUGGCUAGAGUGAGAAUUGCAAUAUGUUGUACCUGUGGUAUAAUUGAGCAUAUUUAAGCAUCCACAUGUACCAUUAUUUUCUAACCAUAAAAUUGUAAGUUUGCUUCAUUAAGUGAGCUACUAGUUCGCUACAAACUACCAUCUUCUGUAUUCUUGUUUUAGUUCUUGCGAGAUUCAUUUCUGUAGCAGCAGGGAAACUUCUGAUGGAUU